GCCCUCGUUGAUCAGUGGAGAUCGCCCACGUCGAUUGUUACAUCGAUUGCACCGGAAUCAGUGGGCGGUGGGGGUUCGACUCCCCCCGAAGGCA